UAUAUAUAUAGUUACGAUUUUAAUAAUGAAAUAAUAAUCCGAAAAUGUAUAUAUAGAAGAAGAUACAAAUACAUGUGAAAGUUUGAAACAAUCUAUUCGAUGAAAAAAUACACCGUAAACUUAUUAUGUUUUAAAAAUUGAUAGACACAUAUAUAUAUUAUAAUAUAUACCAAUUUAGAAUUGAAAACAAAAUGUUUAUAUAAAAAUAAAUGAAAACAAAAACACGCACAGUUACGCAGGUCGAGAUCUAGUUGUAGUUUUAAUCCUGCUGUAUAUAAAUUAUUUCAAACUAAAACAAACUCAAACAUAAAUUAGUAGUCCUAAUCUGGAAAAAGCUUCACGGUAGUAGUCUUUUUUUUCUUUUUGGUCAAACAAGCAUUGCAUUACUAAAUCGGAAGCUACACUCCCGAAACAGAGUUCAUUACAGACAUGGAAAGAGCUGACUUUGCCACAAGAAAAGAAAAAAAAACAAGACAAAGAAGCAGGGGAAAAGAAGAUAACACAACAACUGCAAACAGCAAAAG